CGAAGGGUGCAAGCGUUGUUCGGAUUUAUUGGGCGUAAAGCGCGCGUAGGCGGACCUGCAAGUCAGAUGUGAAAUCUCGGGGCUCAACCUCGAAACUGCGUCUGAAACUACAGGUCUAGAAUCUCGGAGGGGGAAGGGAAUUUCGCAUGUAGGGGUAAAAUCCGUAGAUAUGCGAAGGAACACCAGAGGCGAAGGCGCCUUCCUGGACGAGUAUUGACGCUGAGGCGCGAAAGCGUGGGGAUCAAACAGGAUUAGAUACCCUGGUAGUCCACGCUGUAAACUAUGAACACUAGGUAUUGGAGGAUUUGACCCCUUCAGUGCCGUAGCUAACGCGUUAAGUGUUCCGCCUGGGAAGUACGGUCGCAAGACUA
rnacentral:rRNA from 1 species